UGAACUGAGGUGUGUGUGCGUUUUCCUUAAGGUUCAGUGAACGACAGUGGAAAUGAAGCUUAAGGUUCAGUGAACGGAAGUGGAAAUGAAGAGCAACAAUAAAUAUUCAUAAUUUACCAUGAAAAUGAAGAGCAACAGUGGAAACGAAAAGACAUAAUGGAGAUUUAAUAUAUGAGAGGGAAAAGAAGAAAAGAGAGAAAUGAGCGCGUAAAUAAAAGUAAAAUAAAAUUUAAAAUAAAUUUGUUAGCAAUUUUUGGAGAAUUCUUUGCGAAAGGCUAGUAACUAAGUUGACUUUUUCAUACAAUAGAGUGGUCUAUAAGACUACUAAUAUUUCUCCAUUUGAGGUUGUAUAUAGUUUUAAUCCUCACACUCCUUUGAAUUUGUUACCUUUGCCUAAUCCACAUGAAUUUAUGCAUAAGGAAGAGGGAAUGAUGGUAAAGGCCUUAACUCAGGACCAACCACUAGAGCUAUGUCAAGGAGGAUACAAGAAGAUUGAGACUCUACUACAGAUAGCAGAGACACUCUCUUAUACAUGUUAAAAAAUGCCAUAACCUAGUGUAAUUUCCUAGAAUAGGAUUUUAAUUUUCUUACUUAAUUGUAGAGUAGGAAAUUUACUUGUAAUUUUCUUUAAUUAAAUUAGGGUUAGGAUUAAGCAUCUAAAACCUACCUAGGAUAUAAUUGGACUUAAUUGCAGCCCAUAUUAAAGCCUAGGUCAAUCAUUAGACAUAAUUAGGUUACAUGGAGCACAUUUGAUCAUUCUUUCCUUGUGACUCCAAAGUAGGCGCCUAAUUCAAACUAAUUAGCAUCUCCUUCAAAAUUCAAGCAAAACCAAAUCAGAUGAGACGAUGCUAUCAACUUCAAUAUGUAUAUGACAUGUAUCUUCAAAAUUGUUAGCAAUUUGAUUGGUGUAGUACUUGUUCUUGAACAUUUUCUUGCUUGAUUUUAAUUUGAGUCAUACAUAUAAUUUGUUUUGUAAUUUUUAAUUUCAGUUUGUAAAUUAUUUUUAAUCCUUUGUUUUUGUCAAUUCAAGUUCUUAUUUGAAUAGUCCUUAAUUCAAAUUGAUUUUUUUUUAAUUUAAUUCUUUUGACCUCUACUUGGAAUGGUUGAACACUCUGGUGAAAUUGGAGAAAUGAUUCGGUGAAAACAAUCUCUUGAAGAAGAUGAAGAACUGAUUAGCAAAUGUUGAAUUCCCUAAGGAGAGAAAGCAAAAGGAUUGGCUCAACAAAAAGUGACAAACACUUGGGAGGAUUAUAAUUAGGGAAAUUUAAUUGUAAUCUUUGUAUGAUUGUAUUUCUUGAGUUGUAAGUUUGACUAAAACAUUUUUAUUAGUGGAUAAAUAACUCGAAUUAGACAGUGAGUGUGUCUCAAAGGUCCAAAGGUGUCAAUGAACCUCACAUAGGAAACGACUAGUUUAAAUUCCUA
rnacentral:lncRNA from 1 species